UUUUUUCUAAUAAAUAAAAAUACAAAAAUUUAUGUUAUGUCUUAAUACAAUAUCACAUUAAAUUAGAUUUAGUCAUUUUAGCUAAAUGUCAAAUCGAAGAGCAAAUUAAACCAUUACGUCUGCAAGAAAUCGCUCUUAUUAUCAAGAGAACUGAUUUGUAGUGGAACAAAUUGGAAGACUGUAGGAAAAUCUAAUCUUUCAGUAUAAUCAUCUAUAAUUACAG
rnacentral:lncRNA from 1 species